UAUUGUAAAGAAAUGCACUGUAAAAUAAUUAUCAGAUCAAGUAAAUAAUGCUUACUUACUAUUACAAAGUUCUAGCAGCUUAAAAUGUACUGCGACUAAGUUGUCUGUAAAAGAUUGUAGUUGUACUGUAAUUUUACAGUACUGGAAAACACAAAAUUUACUGUAAACAUAACAAUCUUCUUGUAUUUCUACAGUGAAAUUGGCCAUGGGCAUUACUUUGAUUAAGCAGUACUGUGGAUAGAACGACAAUGAAUAAGCAAUGAUGCUGAUCCUCACCAUGCAUUGCUGCAUGAAUAAAUUAUGCUAAUACAUUUGAAUUUUAUACUUGCUGGUUUUAUCUCUGCUGUUGCAGUUUUUUGUUUAUAUGUCAUAUUUAGCAGCUUGUUUUGUAAUGUUUAGAGUUGAUCCUUCUAUCUGAAAAUGUUUUUUUGUUUAUUGCCACCAUUAUCAAGUUUUGUAUUACAAAUGUUGAUAUCUGUGUGUGUAGUAAACCAGGUAUACUGAAACAUCUUGUGUGGCAAGCAGAGUUUGGUGUAAUGUGAUUGACUAUGAUAGCAAUCAGAAAGUAGUUAAUGUGAUCUAAUACCUAUUUUAGCUGAAGUUUGUGUAAUGCAUUACAUUUGAAAGGCUUGCAAUCAGAUCAUAGUUACCAACUUUCAAUUAAUUAUUUUUAAAUACAUUACUUGUACUACACAUAUAUUCUUGUUACAUUUCUAUUAUUUUGGAAAUAAUGAGAUAUAUAAUGAGCCCAUGAAUCAUUGUAAAGGGAGAAACGAGUGCGUGAAAAAAAAAAUACACUUUCAGCGAAGUCCUUCUCAGUCUCUUGUUAUAUCUAGACUGGACUACUGCAAUGCUCUUCUGUGGCAGGACUUUCAGCAUGUACAGUCGAACUUCUGCACUUGAUCCAGAACUGUGGCACGAUUGGUCUUUAACGAGCCAAAGAGAGCACACGUCAUGCCUCUCUUCAUCGAACUGCACUGGUUGCUGGCAUCAGGUUCAAGGCAUUGAUGCUCACUUAAAGAACAACCAGUGGCUCCACACCCCCCUAUCUACACUCACUACUUCAAGUCUAUGUGCCCUCCAGAAACUUACAAUCAGCGGGUGCUUUGAGAGUGCUGUUGGCUAAAAAUCAGAAUUACAGUCAACUCCAGACACCUGCAUAGACAACAAGCACAGACACGUAAAGGUGGAUGAGGGAGAGCCCACACUGCGAUUCAAAUGAGAGAGCCUGCGUUGCAUCCAACCGGGAGAGCUGACACUACGAUUUGAAUGGGAGAGUCCGUGACCGGAGUGGAAGCUCACACUGUGUCCAAAGAAAGAUAAAUUCAUCAUAGAAAAAGACGAACUGAGAUCCUUCACACUGGUGCCGAAACCCGGGAAAGCAGGAAGGGCACGCUGUCCAGGAGAACUCGUUGCUGCCGUCCACCAGGAGAUGGAGGACCCGCUGCCAUCUGCCGGGAGGUGGAGGAACCAGAUUCUCAGGAGGCGGGGAGGACCAUCGGGUGGCAGAACGGCCAGAAGGGCAGCGUCUCCCCUCCAGAGAUGUGGGGGGAGUAAGCCAGUCCGGAUGGCGCCCCGGCCUGAAUCGGGCGGUGGAGGAGUGGGGUAUGGCCGGCCGUGAGGAUGCAAGCCCAGCUCUAAGUUGCCUAAUCAACGGAAAGGAGAUUAAGGAAUAGCCAGGGAUGCCAGAGAGUGAGAGAGAGAGACACACACGGCUGCUCUAUGUGUGUGUGUGUGUGUGUAUUGCUGUGUUUUCAGUGUGAUGUUUUGUCUAAUUAAAGUCUUGUUGAAUGUG